rnacentral:rRNA from 1 species
AUGGAUCUGGAAGCGAAAUCAAAGAUGUUGGAUGUAAAAUCCAAGAUGAUUGACGCGAGAUGCAAGAAGAUUGAAGCAAGAUCAGCAGAGUUUGACGUGAGAUCCAAGCAACUUGAUGCCAGACACUUGCAGUUUGAGGCAAGAUCUAUGGAGCUAGAAGUGAAAUCCAGGAGGCUUGAAACGAGAUCAAAGGAGCUUAAAGCUCUACAUGCGCAAAAUGAGUGUGAGAGGAUGCACCUUGCGCAAUACAAGAAAAAGUUACAUCGUAAGAUGCACACAGUUGAGUCUUUUAACCAGGCUUUAGUAACCCAGCAAAGAAAAGGAAAUGAUGAGUUGGAGUGUCUAAGGGAGCGAGUAGCACAGUUACAGAAUGAACUGGAAGCAAUGGAGUCGCUCAAUCGUGUUCUACUAACCAAGGAAGUAGGCAGCAACAAUGAGUUGCAAGUUGCGCGGAAAAGGCUGAAAGAUGGGCUGCAGAAGUUUACAAAUGGACGGGCGAAUAUAGGGGUCAAGAGAAUGGGCGAGCUUGACAUGAAAGCAUUUGCGAAUGCUUGCAAACAAGAUUUAUCACAAGAAGAUGCCCAAGUUGAUUCUGUUUUUCUUUGUUCAAAGUGGCAAGCUGAAAUUACAAACUCAGAGUGGCACCCUUUUAAGAUCGUCAUGGUUGAUGGUAAAGAGAUGGAAAUUCUCUUAGAGGAUGAUGACAAGCUGCGGAAGUUGAAGGAAGAACAUGGUGAAGAAAUAUGCACUUUGGUAACGAAUGCACUGCUUGAAAUCAAUGAGUACAACCCCAGUGGCCGUUAUGUUGUACCAGAACUGUGGAACUAUAAGGAUGGCCGGAAAGCAACGCUGGAAGAAGGCAUCGAGUUCAUCGUGAAACAGUGGCAAUCACAUAAGAAGCGCUGA